rnacentral:lncRNA from 1 species
GCAUAAUUGUCCAAAAAAUUACUGCCCAAAUUCUAACUCGGCCUAAGUUUGUGUGAUUAUUAACAUUGUGUGUGAAUUUCAAUAAUUUUGGAUAAGACAAAUUAACGACAGAGUGCGGAAACCAAACUAAAUGCAUUAAUAUAACUUGUGACCCGUUAUCACUGAAUUGUUGGGACAAAAACCACUGAAUUCAACACGCCAUUAGUGAUAAUAAUCCUUGUGUUAAAAUGUAAUACAAACGACUCAUACAAAAUACAAAGUUAUGGCAUUAAAACAAGUGACUAUAGAUGAAGACAACAGCGCCAUACCAUCAUACAUGCCAAAAUAGUAUUGCAUUCAUAUGAAAAUGAUUUCAAAAGUUGCUUAAUUGAACAACAUACAUCAUUAAGAAAUUCUUAAU